GAGAACAGAUGGGGAGGAAAUAGGAGCAAAGUCCAUCCUCCCAGAGGUACCAAUGCAGCCAAUGGCUGACACAUUCCUCUUCAGUGACCUACACCAGGGAGGCAUCAACAGGCUGAAGAUGACGGAGAAGGAGAUGCUGUAAGAAGGACAGACCCCCAGAUCUGCAAUGCUACCACUACCAUCCACAGUAAUGGCUAAAUUACAGGGCCAUGGAGCAGGAUCCAAGAGUAUGUGCUACAUGGAACGACAUCUGCAGUUAAGACUGGGUGUGCCAAGCAGGCCCUGUAGCAGCCAAGGAACUUAUUCAGAGCUCUUGAGGACCACUCAAUUAUCACUAAUUAACAAGCCUAAAGGUUAGCUCCUUGACAGCCCUCCAUAUGCCAAACUCCUCCCUGGUGACCCAGCAAGGAAAGAUGAAGGGUGGUGUUCUCACUCCACAUUUGAACCAGUAACGUGCGUUUAUUGAUUUAGCUGUUCAUAUCAGCCCAAGUCCUUCAUGUACCCACUUCAGGGCUAUUUACUUGUCCUGCCAGCUCCACCUCAUUAAGACACCCUAUUGUCCCAGCUGACGCUGCAGAAACCGUGCCUCUGAGAGAACUCCUGCAAAGUCCCAUCUUCUGUUCCGGCAGCAUGGAAGAUAAAACCAUCUGCUGGGUGUUUGAAGGCACUGUGUAUCGUCUCAGUCUAGGUGUGAUGGUAAUCAAUCUUUAUUUAAAAAAAAAAAAAACGAAAAAAAACCAAAACAACAAAACACCUAUCUUUAUUCACACCACCUAGCUGAAGGCUACUUGCAAUCUCAACUGUGAAGGUGGGUCUAAAAGAGGGGUGGGACCCCAGAUACUUCUUUAUUUUUGAAAGCGCUUGGAAUCCGAGCUUUGUGAGGUAACAGAGAGGGGAGCAGCAAUUUCAAAGGAAGCAUUUUUCCUCGGGAAAGCUACAGAUUGCUGAAAUCAGAGUUCCUGUAAGGUUGCUCAAGACUGGGCUGGAGUUAUCAGUCACUCAGGACAGCUGGUGACUCAGUCAGGAGAGUCAAGUCUCUACUCUGGUUCAAGUCUCUACUCUGAUAGGGAGGGGAGGCUUGCACGUGGAUUUCCGACUACUGCCUGUUGCCCUUGCUGCGUGGCUGUCCUGGGAUAGUUCCCUCACUGAAGCUAUCCCAUUUUGCACAGUGACCUUGAUAUUCCCUGGAUGAUAGACUGCCUGCAUGACCCAACAUCCAUGAUUAGGAUAGAAAAAAACAGGUCCAAGACCAUGGAUGCUUGCAUGAAAUAAAUCCUCACUAUAACGAGCUGGCAUCUCAUGGCUACCGCCACUUCCCACACACACCAGUGCUGCAGAAUUGGGAAUGACCAUUGUCUCACAUAUCCCAGGAAGAAACGUCACAGAACUAGUUUAUUUCUUAUUUCUCAAGCACUAGCUGAGAGGUACUCAACAUAGCCUUGUUGUAUCUCCUCUUUGACAAAAGGAAACACAAUUUAGGAUGUCAGGAAAUGCAGAAGAUGGAAUAAGGCUUCAAAGGGCCAGGCUCAGAGCACUAAUCUAUUUUAGAUGGCUGUUUGAAUCUACCUAAUGCUGCUGCCCUCACAUGAAACCAACCUGAAGAAAAGCGGAGCUGACCUCCUCUUAACACUACCACCAAGUUCAUUACUUAACACUUCACCUGUUGACACUCGCAGGCAAAUCCCAGACCGGAUUGUAGCCCUGUGGAAUGCAAAUCUGGCUAUGUGCCUCCAAAUGACUGUACGAUGAGGGAAAAUAAUCCACACCUGCAAAUAAAAGAGAUCAGUAAGCAAAUUCCAGAGCCAGGCUGGGUAGCAAUGAAACGGCAAAGCUUUCAAAUUACAUUGGGUCACAGCUUCUUUCUUCAUGGCCUGGUUAGCUGCUGGUCAAAGAAUUGCUUGCUCCUGGUUUUCGCAGCUUCAAAGGAUGCUGUAUGGGACUGAUUGCUCAAGCGGGAUUCAACUUGCAGAUUAAAACAUCUAAGCGUGCGUAGGAGAGUACUGCUUGUGCUCAGAGAGUCUGAAAUUUCAAUGUGUUUGCCUAAACACAGGUAUCUGGUACCACCUGGGCACUCAUUCCUUUGAGUAUCCAACUAAUGAUUCAGAAGGGCAUGGGUCUCCUACAGGGUCUUUAGCGUAACAAGUACCAGGCCCAGGCAAUGUUGCACCUAGGGAAGCUGAAAUAAAGCCCUCUCUCAACUUUACUGACAAAAAACGGGAACAUGAAACAAGAAGUUCACAGGAAAUUUUGGCUCAAUUCACCUGCCUAAUCUCAACAGUCUGUUGCUUUUGGCACAUCUUGGACCAUCUGAGACAUCUUCCUGGAGCUGCCAGAGAUGACACAGAUCCAUGAUGGUUCUGGAACUGCUCCUGGAGGACAGUCAGGAUGCUCCAGAUUGAAAUGCCUGCAGGGCACUGAUAGGCUUGUUUGUGGUUCUGUGGGCACCUACAUUUCUGUUUGGGUCUGCGAGCUGAAUCCCACUCCUUGUAAUCAGUGAAGCCUGUGGAGACUUUUUGUGGAGGCUUUGGAGGCUUUGUGAAGGCUUUGGAUACCUUGUGCAUAUGCAGAUUUGUCUGACUCUUGGUGUCUUUGUUCCACCAGGCUCGUGUUCAGGCACAAGGACUCUGGGGGCUCUCAGAAGCCUUGGGGUCAUCACAUAGAGACCAAUUUGCACAUGUGCUGUGGAUCAAGCAUAUCUCAGACCUCUUUGAGUUACUGUUUGUAUGCAAAUGGGAUGCUUGUGCAUGGAAGGUUGGACAGUGGGAAAAAAUUAUUUUCAGAAAGAGUGAUAAUGCACUGGCAAGGCUGCCCAGGGAUUAAUGGAGUCACCAUCCCUGGAGGUGUUCAAGUACCGUGGAGAUGUGGCACUGAGGGACGUGGUUCAGUGGGCAUGGUGGGGAUGGAUUGAUGGCUGGACUUGGUGAUCUCAGAGGUCUUUUCUAACCUUAAUGAUUCCUAGAUUUAAUGAAAGAAGUCAGGAGAGGUGAUGUGCUACCAGCACUGUGGCAUGUGAGUUUGGCCAUGAGUUUGGUUAGGAGGAGUAGUCUUGUCAGUUUAGUACCAGCUCUUUGCUGGAAACAAAAUCUUUGCCCAAGUUCAGAGCACUAUUUGUCAAAGAAAUGCCGUGAUCUCAACUCUGCUCUUCACAAGAAGGAUAGACACCUAAUUCUCUCCAUGUGUCAACAUGUCUGUGCACAUUAGUCCUUAAAUUUCACUUGGAGAUAGGGCUAAACCUUUGUCUGUGUGGAUCUAAGAGCUGCCACUUGGUACUGGAAUGGCUUUAGAUUACUUCUAUGAGCUAUGUUUUCAUGAGCAAAGCCCUCUGGUAUAGCUAAAUGUGACCAUAGUUAGACCAUGCUACCUACCUUACAGAGGAAAGGGACUGUUCUGCAAAGGAGAGGACUUUGGCAGUUCCCCCUGUGGUGAAAAUUUCACGUCAUGGGGCAGCAAUAGGAUAUCAAUACAGGUUCUCUUCUUCAGUUCACAAAAGGAUCUAUAGGGGUUAAUUGCAAAUACGCCCUCAUGGAGAAGGUAAGAGUUACUGAGAUGUACAUAAAUUUCUUAGUUUUUUUCUACAG
ensembl:lncRNA